AGUCGAGCGAACAGAGAAGGAGCUUGCUCCUUCGACGUUAGCGGCGGACGGGUGAGUAACACGUGGGCAACCUACCUUAUAGUUUGGGAUAACUCCGGGAAACCGGGGCUAAUACCGAAUAAUCUGUUUCACCUCAUGGUGAAACACUGAAAGACGGUUUCGGCUGUCGCUAUAGGAUGGGCCCGCGGCGCAUUAGCUAGUUGGUGAGGUAACGGCUCACCAAGGCGACGAUGCGUAGCCGACCUGAGAGGGUGAUCGGCCACACUGGGACUGAGACACGGCCCAGACUCCUACGGGAGGCAGCAGUAGGGAAUCUUCCACAAUGGGCGAAAGCCUGAUGGAGCAACGCCGCGUGAGUGAAGAAGGAUUUCGGUUCGUAAAACUCUGUUGUAAGGGAAGAACAAGUACAGUAGUAACUGGCUGUACCUUGACGGUACCUUAUUAGAAAGCCACGGCUAACUACGUGCCAGCAGCCGCGGUAAUACGUAGGUGGCAAGCGUUGUCCGGAAUUAUUGGGCGUAAAGCGCGCGCAGGUGGUUUCUUAAGUCUGAUGUGAAAGCCCACGGCUCAACCGUGGAGGGUCAUUGGAAACUGGGAGACUUGAGUGCAGAAGAGGAUAGUGGAAUUCCAAGUGUAGCGGUG
rnacentral:rRNA from 1 species